GCCAGGCGUGGUGGCGCACACCUGUAAUCCCAGCUACUCGGGAGGCUGAGGCAGGAGAAUCGCUUGAGCCCAAGAGGUGGAGGUUGCAGUGAGCCAAGAUCGUGCCACUGCACUCCAGCCUGGGCAACAGAGUGAGAUUUUGUCUCAA
rfam:Pan troglodytes isolate Yerkes chimp pedigree #C0471 (Clint) chromosome 19, whole genome shotgun sequence.